GUGCUUAUAUAGGCAGCAUAUAUACUAAAAAUGGAAUGAUAUAGAGAAGAUUAGCACGGCUCCUGUGUAAGGAUAAAACGUAAAUACGUGAAGCAUUCCAUGUUUUC
rnacentral:snRNA from 1 species